rnacentral:lncRNA from 1 species
UUUCAUUCAGCCCCGCCGUGCUUGGCCCGUCUCCUUCCGCAGGGCGAGCGUGGAAUGUUAUUGACCGGGGCCCCAUGCAGCGACGGAGGCACUGAAGAAAGCACUUUAGACUUUUGGGCAAAGAAAAGAAAUUCCUGCCCUUCCCCAUGCAAACAUACCCCACCUCCCCAAAAAGUGCCUUUUGUUCCCUUAUUCCUCUUUUUUUCACCCACUCCUGCCUCCAGCUGCAGACUAAACCCUCCCUUGCUCCUCGCUGGCUAAGCAGAGCAUCACCAGAGCACCAGUGCCCAGAACCAACAGGGUGUGCUGGGCCAACAGCACAGACGGUGCUGAGCCUUGGGAAGGGUUGAGCCCAUCAGGACCCACUGCCCGCUGACAACACAAAAGGCUGCCCUGAGAUCCAAUAUUGGAGCUCCCAGGGACACCACUGAGGAAUUCCCAUUAGUUUGUGUUUGGGGAAAGCCUCCCGUCAAACACCAAUUUGCUUUUCUCUUGCCAGGCACCAGCAGAGCUGUGGCAGCCUCCCAGCCUGGCACUGCAGGGCAGGAGCCACACAGGUGCUGUCUGAGCUGUGCUUUGCUUUUGUCUCAUCCCCUAGCAGCAGAAAGCCCUCCAGAAAACCUGCGACCAGAGCCAUGGUGUGUUGAUCAGUGCAGCUAGCCAUGCUAAGGGCACUCUUCCUUCCUCCAGACCUCAUAGCGCCUCAGGAGAAGAAAUAAAUAAAUCAGCAACAGAUUCAAAAAGUAAUUGGCGAGCGGGGCAGAGGAGAGAAGAGGUGGCACAGACAAGGGAGGACCACAGACAUCUUCUCCUGGGACUGUAGCCAAGGAAAACUGAAGCCCAGGGCGAGCACAAUUGCCUCUUGGCAAAGGACUGUUGAGUUGGCACCAUUUCAACGCCGCUUGCCUUAAAGGCAUGAAAACCCAUCUAUAAAGGAUGCUGGGAACCAAGUGGAAACAAAACGCACACCAGCCAUGAAUAAUGGGGCAAAUGUGUCAAUGCAAACAGAAACAUGCUGCAACCCUUCCCUUAGCCCAGACUUCGCAAACUCUUUCUGAAAGCUUCUGUUAAGGUGAGCCCUCCUGGGUCACAGUCAAGCAGAGUAUGUCCACAGACAUAAUCAGGUUACCCGAGGAUUUAGUUUCCAAGUGCUGGUUCCCUUUCAAAAGGCCAGCUUGACAAAUUCCAUCACGGGAGCUCAAGCUUUUGCAUAUAGCUUCUGAGUAUCCCCUGAGACUGAAGCCACACUGAAAGAGUCCCUUUUCUUGCACACCUAAGAGAGUUAGCACUCAUGUUAUCUGGAUUUUCAUCCUUGAAGGAGGGCUCAGGGGAAGGGAAGAGGAAGCAGACACGAGCCUCUGGAUCUUUGUUAGGGAGGGGGUGUGAAGAAACAGGGAGUGAAGUUCAGGAAGGCCACUGCUGAUGGGAACAGAACUCUUGGAGGGGCUGAGGCAGUGAUCCUUAAGGCACGAGAGGGAAGGAAAAGAAGGUAUUAUGUUAGAGAAGGCUUUGAAACAUGGGGAAGAUUGCCGGUGCCAUCGGGUAUGUGGCUCUGCAUGCUUCUUUGCAACUCAGUAGCAGAACAGGGGCUGAGACAAUGAUAGAGAAAAAGAUGCCUUCUUCCCUUUUCCUCCAUGCGCACCAAUGAUUCAGGCUCCUUUUUAUGUCCUGGGACACGGCUGUCUGGAAACACAUAAAGAAAAGGACUCCAGAACGUCACCACAAGCACAUCACUUAUUGGCAACAGCCUUCAUCAGCUAUUCAAAGAGAUGCCCCAAAAGCCCAUGCUUCUCUCCUGCAUGAACAGGAUACAGACCUGGAUAACAUGUGGCUGUCCAGCUGCCUUGGCUGGGCAGGCUGAAAAACAUCAGCUGGGGGCUGAUCCCAGUGCUCCCAGCCUCAGGUUACCUCCCCAGGGAAAGGAUGCUCCGUGGCACUGCUACUGGGACGUACGGCAAGGCAAGGCUGUCACAGCCCUAUGGAAAAGACCCUCUCCAGACCCAGCCCAGACCCUCUGAGGAUCUCAUGGGCUGCUCCUCAAGGCAACCUUCAUGAAGAGGCAGGGUUACCAGCCCUGUUUCUAACCUCAUCUAAAAGGAAGCAGUUUUCUUUCUCCAUACUUCCCCACGUUCAGCAGGCUCCGCGUGAGGUCCCAGUGAGAGAGAGGUGAUGCAGCAGCUCAAACGAUGCCAUUCUUCAAGGGCAAAGCUUUCCGCUGUGGCUAACGCCAAACUGCUGAAUGUUAGGAGAGGGAAUGGUGGCAGGAUGGAACAAAAGUUGUGCCAGUGCUGUCUCAUCAGGCCAACACGAGCUUCACCUGUCAGGCAAAACAAGAGGCAGUCGAAACAGAGUACCAGCUAAUAGGCUUCAGGACACACAAAGCGGCAGGAAACCCAUUUAUCUCAAGCCGCCCACGUGCCAUACCGAUGUAGCCUUGGGUUUUUAUCUCAGCUUUGUGUUGGAGGCAACAAAAGCAAGUCCCUUCUGCAACCCAUCUGAACGAGGAAAGCGAGAUUCAGUGGGGGUGCCUGGGGAGGCUGGUGCUAUCACAGAGCCUGGUGGCGACGGAGUGGGGAAGAAACCAGCGUGGGCCCAGCGUUGUGCUAAAUUUUGUGCUGUCGUGGAUGUCUGAGGCUGAGACACGAAGCUGGGACGUGGCUGUGUUGUCUCUUGCUUCUGCCCAAGCAGGGCAGUUCUGCAUGGAGCUCACUGGAGGUGUUAAAUGCAGCCAGAGCUACGGCACCUGCAGCUCUGCUGGAGCGCAGUGAGUUUCCCUGCUUUCAGAUCUGAAGCACAAGAGAGCACCUUGUGCAGUCCGUAAGUCAGAAGGCUUCAGCACAAAACUAUUUCCUUGGGAUCGCUGCUGGCAGAGAGAAACAGAGAGAUUUUAUCGGAAAUUCCCCGCUAAAAUACAAUCCAUAUCCUCAAUCUUCAGAUCAAUGCGAGAAAAAAAAUCCAUCCAAUGAUUUUCUUCCAGCACCACAGAAUGCGCCGGGAGACGAUUCCAUAGCAGCGGCUCUGCCCUCCACGUGCUGCGUUUGUGCCUUACCCUGCUGGGCACAGCUGCUGCCCCACAGCUGGGCACACAUUGCUUUUGUGAGCAACGUGCUCUGUGAGUGCUACUGGUACAGGCAAGUUGUUGUUAUUGCCGUUAAUGAAACAUAGUUGAAGACGAAGCAGGAGCAGCACCAGCAGAUAACGCACUCGGUGUUCAGAACCCACUUUUACCCACGCCCUCCGGGCUAUUCCAGCCCAUCACCUCCAAGCUGGCUUUCUCCACCGGCUCGCUUGGACCCCGAAAUCGCAGAAGAUCGGUGAUAAUAAAGGCAGCAAACCCCCCUUUCUUGCUUUAAGCUCAGCCUUGUGCUGCAGACAACACGGCACAUCGCUUCCACCGCCAUCCAUCAAGGACAGCUGAUCGCAGCCUCCGACAAAGCCCAUCAUUUCAGCCGCGCGCUUCCAUCGCCUCCAAAUCGGCGGCUGAUGAUACACAGAAGUGUUGCAAU